CAAGUGCUUUUAAAUAAUGCCAAGUUUGUAGUAAGUUGUCACCUAUCAGCAGGUCAGACAAGAGGUUGAUUCCACAGGUUCAAAGCCUUGCAGAUCCACACCAGCAGAUCCAUGCUGCGGAAACUAGGUCCUUUGGCACCACCUGGUGGACAAAAGAAAGAACAAGCUUUCGACGCGUGCAUGUUUCACCAGUGAGGAAUGGAGGGCAGCGCCGGACGUCUCUCCAACCACAGCUCGCUGGUCUGAAAGACACGUCAAUCUGCUUCCUCUGUUCCAGAUGCAGGCCUGUGGACAGAAAUAAGACAAUUAAAAGCAGUCGAUUGAACGAGUUGACUUUAAAACUCACAAAGUCAGUCGGCCAUGACGGGCUCGUUUUGAGGGUUUGCACCUGCAGACAGAAAGUAGAAAAUUAACACGAAUGCAUCGAAAUACCUGUUUCAGUCAUUCUCUGGUGGAUUUAUGCAAACGCUGCUACGUCUACUUACCUUCGGCCAAACGACGCUGUCGUCCAGACGUUGCUAAAUGUUUGUGCAAAAAUUGUGUUAGUCAUCUUUCCACACGGUGCGUGCUUGAGUUUUCUAAAUGUACAUGUACUUACCCACCGUUAAAAGCUUGAGUUAUAUCGUUGCACCAAAAUGCACGCCAAAGAAAUGCCUUUUGGUGGUCGUUGAAGACGCUAACUGCUAACGCUAGCUUCUGCAAACUUUUUAGCUUGCAAGAUGGAAACACUCCCAAAGUGCAACUUGACGCUGAAAGAGAGAAAAAGCAGUUAGUUUAAAAAGAUGAACAAAUAUUGAACAUCCACCUUGUCAGUUGUGGAAUGGAGUGCGGCUGGCGCAGCAGGUGGACCAGAGCAGCGUGGCGCUCGCUGUCAGAGGAGAGUGAAAGACUGAUCGGCGCGUUCUUGACGCCUUUUAUACUCUUUUUGUGAUGACGUCAUUAAAAGAAGAA